GCCAGACUCCUACGGGAGGCAGCAGUGGGGAAUAUUGCACAAUGGGGGGAACCCUGAUGCAGCGACGCCGCGUGAGGGAAGAAGGUUUUCGGAUUGUAAACCUCUGUCCUCUGUGACGAUAAUGACGGUAGCAGAGGAGGAAGCCACGGCUAACUACGUGCCAGCAGCCGCGGUAAUACGUAGGUGGCGAGCGUUAUCCGGAUUUACUGGGUGUAAAGGGAGCGUAGACGGAAUUGCAAGUCUGAUGUGAAAAUCCGGGGCCCAACCCCGGAACUGCAUUGGAAACUGUAUUUCUAGAGUGUCGGAGAGGCAAGUGGAAUUCCUGGUGUAGCGGUGAAAUGCGUAGAUAUCAGGAGGAACACCAGUGGCGAAGGCGGCUUGCUGGACGAUGACUGACGUUGAGGCUCGAAAGCGUGGGGAGCAAACAGGAUUAGAUACCCGUGUAC
rnacentral:rRNA from 1 species